CGGGGUAUAGCUCAGAGGCAGAGCGCUUCGUUCGGGACGGAGAGGCCGCUGGUUCGAAUCCAGCUACCCCGA
rfam:Candidatus Curtissbacteria bacterium RBG_13_35_7 RBG_13_scaffold_17478, whole genome shotgun sequence.